rnacentral:rRNA from 1 species
CCUACGGGAGGCAGCAGUGGGGAAUAUUGGACAAUGGGCGAAAGCCUGAUCCAGCCAUGCCGCGUGUGUGAAGAAGGCCUUCGGGUUGUAAAGCACUUUCAGUGGGGAAGAAAGCCUUGGGGCUAAUACCCUCGAGGAAGGACAUCACCCACAGAAGAAGCACCGGCUAACUCCGUGCCAGCAGCCGCGGUAAUACGGAGGGUGCGAGCGUUAAUCGGAAUUACUGGGCGUAAAGCGCGCGUAGGCGGUCUGAUAAGCCGGUUGUGAAAGCCCCGGGAUCAACCUGGGAACGGCAUCCGGAACUGUCAGGCUAGAGUGCAGGAGAGGAAGGUAGAAUUCCCGGUGUAGCGGUGAAAUGCGUAGAGAUCGGGAGGAAUACCAGUGGCGAAGGCGGCCUUCUGGACUGACACUGACGCUGAGGUGCGAAAGCGUGGGUAGCAAACAGGAUUAGAUACCCGGGUAGUC